AACUUGUUUAAACAACUGGAUAUUACAGAUUGAACGCCUUGUUCUGUGCUUCUCCCUUCUCGCUACUGUACUUGACUAGUCUUUA
rnacentral:sRNA from 1 species